rnacentral:rRNA from 1 species
AGCAGCCGCGGUAAUUCCAGCUCCAAUAGCGUAUAUUAAAGUUGUUGCAGUUAAAAAGCUCGUAGUUGAAUUUCGGGAUCAAAUUGUCGGUCGUGCCUCGGUACGUACUGGUAUUAUUGGUUCCUCCCUUCUGACGAACCACGAUGUCAUUAAUUUGGUGUCAUGGGGAAAUCAGGACUGUUACUUUGAAAAAAUUAGAGUGUCUAAAGCAGGCUCGCGCUUGAAUACAUUAGCAUGGAAUAAUGAAAUAGGACGUUUGAUUCUAUUUUGUUGGUUUCUAGGAUCGACGUAAUGAUUAAUAGGGAUAGUUGGGGGGCAUUAGUAUUCAAUUGUCAGAGGUGAAAUUCUUGGAUUUAUUGAAGACUAACUACUGCGAAAGCAUUUGCCAAGGAUGUUUUUCAUUAAUCAAGAACGAAAGUUAGGGGAUCGAAGACGAUCAGAUACCGUCGUAGUCUUAACCAUAAACUAUGCCGACUAGGGAUCGGAUGAUGUUAAUUUUUUUAAUGACUCAUUCGGCGCC